GCCUUAUUGGCUCAGUGGUAGAGCGUCUGUCCUGUAACCUGAAGAUCACUAGUUCGAUUUCUGCAUCGGGCA
rfam:Caenorhabditis brenneri strain PB2801 C_brenneri-6.0.1_Cont397.3, whole genome shotgun sequence.